rnacentral:siRNA from 1 species
CUGACUGGAACGAUGUAGAAGGCA